rnacentral:rRNA from 1 species
UACAGAGGUCUCAAGCGUUGUUCGGAUUCAUUGGGCGUAAAGGGUGCGUAGGCGGCGCGUUAAGUCGGGUGUGAAAUCUCGGGGCUUAACUCCGAAACUGCAUUCGAUACUGCCGUGCUUGAGGACUGGAGAGGAGACUGGAAUUUACGGUGUAGCGGUGAAAUGCGUAGAUAUCGUAAGGAAGACCAGUGGCGAAGGCGGGUCUCUGGACAGUUCCUGACGCUGAGGCACGAAGGCCAGGGGAGCAAACGGG